rnacentral:rRNA from 1 species
UACGUAGGUGGCAAGCGUUGUCCGGAUUUACUGGGCGUAAAGAGCGCGCAGGCGGCCGAGUAAGUCGAAUGUGAAAGCCCCCGGCUCAACUGGGGAAGGUCAUUCGAUACUGUUCGGCUCGAAGAUAGGAGAGGGAAGCGGAAUUUUAGGUGUAGUGGUGAAAUGCGUAGAUAUCUGAAGGAACACCAGUGGCGAAGGCGGCUUUCUGGCCUAUUCUUGACGCUGAGGCGCGAAAGCUAGGGGAGCGAACGGG